AUCUUUCUUCUUGGCUGGUGAGGCUGAAGCAGAACUGGGCAUGCUCAGUGUGUCUCCCUCCUGCCAGGCAGCCUGGCACCAAAAGCACAACCUCUGCUACUCUGGGUGGGAAGGCGGAUGGCGCGCGUGGAGGCACCCACUGUCUAGCAACAGAAAGAUGUCCUCCAAGCUGCUCUACAGAACCAGUGGCACCGGACUCCCCGACCCUCCCUGCAGGCGGACCUAGGGGAGUUUUCCGGAAAUGGGUGGAGACUCUGCCAGCCUCCAUGGCUCCCAGACCAUGGUUUGAUACAGGAACACUACACCUGCCAGUGAUUUGGAUGUGGGCUUUAGUGUGUCCCUCACAAGCCCACGAGUCCAGAGCUUGGCCCCCAGGAUGUUGGGGUCUCAUGGAAGCGACUAAGUCAGGGCUCCACUCAGGAACGGUUGUAGAGUCCAUUACUGCCUACAAGAAUGAACUGUGAAAAACUCGUUUUUCUGGCCUCUGCUUCUUGUCUCCCUGGAUGCUCCCCACCAGAGCCAAGAAGACAGGGGCCCAUGCUCUUCGGCCUUUAAAAUUAUGGCCUGAGUGGACCUAGUAUAAAGUACCCAACUCCAGGUAUUUUGUUAUAGCAAUCGAAAAUGGAAUAAUACACCAACACCUUCCAUCUCCUUUCCCCACUAUUCCAUCACUACAGUCAGGAGUGAAACAGGAUUGUUAUGAAAUGGGGGCCUCUCGGGGUGGUUUUCAGAUUGUUGGAGUCCUCAACAAAGAAUUGAGCAGGACACCCAGAAAGGGUAUAUAGUGGCUUAACUAAUGGUCAGCUUGCAACAGCAGCUGAACCGAAUCAGUGGCGGGCCCAGCUGAGGACUUCUGCCAAUGUAGAAGGAGAACAGAGGGAGGAGGUGUGCUGGUCAGUCUCCUGCAGAAGCUGUCACCACGGCUUUCCUGUGAAGAGCUCGGCUGUUAUCAUCAUCAGAGGAGCUCAGGUCCUGGCUGUCGCUGCGAAUGGCUGUGGUUCUCUUCGGGGAAGCUCUGGUCCCUACCUUGAGCAUCACCUCCUGGCUCCAGGGCAGAUCCCUCAGGCUGCCGGCACAGCUCCUGCAUGCCCCUGGCACAGACUCUCUAGCUUCCACCACUCACCUUUGGGCCUUCCCAGUGCAGACCCUCAAUACAGACUCAAUGAGACAUUGGUGUGGUCUCUCGACCUCCAGCUGGACUCACACAGGACAUUGUCAUGGACUCUAGGCCCUCAGCUGGACUCUUUGAGUCUUCAGUUUGUGGACAGAUCUAUUGUGUUCUUCUGCAUGUGACUUUUUGAAUGAAUAUUAUACAAUUAUCCUAUAAA